UUGCCCAAUGAUUAUAAAAAGACGCGAAAGAGGACUUGAAGCUGGAUUCUUUUCCUUUUUCUCUCUUCUCUACUCUUUGCCUAACUUUUCUCUCUAUUUCCCUCCCCUCCCACUUUCCUCUGCUUCUUUUUCUCUCUUUGGAUGUCCAGCGUCCUAUGAGCGAAGAUUAUGAGAUAUGAGGGCAA
ensembl:snoRNA Gm23262 predicted gene, 23262